rnacentral:rRNA from 1 species
AUACGUAGGUGGCAAGCGUUGUCCGGAAUUAUUGGGCGUAAAGCGCAUGUAGGCGGUGCCUUAAGUCUGUCGUGAAACUGCGGGGCCUAACCCCGUAUGGCGAUGUAAACUGUGGCACUUGAGUGCAGGAGAGGAAAGGGGAACUCCCAGUGUAGCGGGGAAAUGCGUAGAUAUUGGGAAGAACAACGGUGGCGAAGGCGCCUUUCUGGACUGUGUCUGACGCUGAGAUGCGAAAGCCAGGGUAGCGAACGGGAUUAGAUACCCCGGUAGUCCUGGCCGUAAACGAUGGGUACUAGGUGUGGGAGGUAUCGACCCCUUCCGUGCCGGAGUUAACGCAAUAAGUACCCCGCCUGGGGAGUACGGCCGCAAGGCUUAAACUCAAAUGAAUUGACGGGG